rnacentral:rRNA from 1 species
GACGAACGCUGGCGGCGUGCUUAACACACGCAAGUCGAACGCUGAAGCCCUUUCGGGGGUGGAUGAGUGGCGAACGGGUGAGUAACACGUGGGUAAUCUGCCCUGCACUCUGGGAUAAGCCUUGGAAACGGGGUCUAAUACCGGAUAGGACACAUCGCCGCAUGGUGUGUGUGUGGAGAGUUCCGGCGGUGCAGGUUGAGCCCGCGGCCUAUCAGCUUGUUGGUGGGGUGAUGGCCUACCAAGGCGACGACGGGUAGCCGGCCUGAGAGGGUGACCGGCCACACUGGGACUGAGACACGGCCCAGACUCCUACGGGAGGCAGCAGUGGGGAAUCUUGCGCAAUGGGCGAAAGCCUGACGCAGCAACGCCGCGUGGGGGAUGACGGCCUUCGGGUUGUAAACCUCUUUCGACCGGGACGAAGGGUGACUGACGGUACCGGUAGAAGAAGCACCGGCUAACUACGUGCCAGCAGCCGCAGUAA